rnacentral:rRNA from 1 species
UACGUAGGGUGCAAGCGUUGUUCGGAUUUACUGGGCGUAAAGGGCGCGUAGGCGGCAGAUCAAGUCAGCUGUGAAAUCUCCGAGCUUAACUCGGAACUGUCAGCUGAUACUGUUUUGCUAGAGUGCGGAAGGGGCAAUCGGAAUUCUUGGUGUAGCGGUGAAAUGCGUAGAUAUCAAGAGGAACACCUGAGGUGAAGACGGGUUGCUGGGCCGACACUGACGCUGAGUGCGCGAAAGCCAGGGGAGCAAACGGG